AUCAGAUAUGGUGAUAUGGUUCCAGCUACCAUAACCGGUAAAAUUGUUGGUGGCAUUUGCUCUUUAUCUGGUGUCUUGGUCAUUGCUCUUCCAGUCCCUGUUAUUGUUUCCAAC
rfam:Tetranychus urticae London genomic scaffold, scaffold_12